rnacentral:lncRNA from 1 species
UGCUACAAAAUAUUUCUUGAUGAUUUUAUUCACAUUGAUCAUUUUGUUUGCUGUGCUCUCAGGAUAAGCAAAUGUCUUGACAAUAGUGUAAGCUGCCAGAGACAUGUUUAUAUCAGCUGCCCAUUAAAUUCUAUUUUUCUCUUUAAGUAUUCAGAUCGGUCAAAUCCACUGGAAAAACAUAUUGACGUCUUGAUCAAUAAGUAUGGAAUGUCUGCCUGUCCAUUUGCUCCUCAGCUGUUUGGGAGCGCUGGGAAAGAACAUAUGGAAACAUAUGGAACAAAGGUUGAACACUUUGCAAAAAUUGGAUGGAAAAAUCAUAAACACUCAGUUAAUAACCCGUAUUCCCAGUUCCAAGAUGAAUACAGCUUAGAUGAGAUAAUGAAAUCAAG